rnacentral:rRNA from 1 species
CCAGGGCUACACACGUGCUACAAUGGCAUAUACAAAGAGAAGCGACCUCGCGAGAGCAAGCGGACCUCAUAAAGUAUGUCGUAGUCCGGAUUGGAGUCUGCAACUCGACUCCAUGAAGUCGGAAUCGCUAGUAAUCGUAGAUCAGAAUGCUACGGUGAAUACGUUCCCGGGCCUUGUACACACCGCCCGUCACACCAUGGGAGUGGGUUGCAAAAGAAGUAGGUAGCUUAACCUUCGGGAGGGCGCUUACCACUUUGUGAUUCAUGACUGGGGUGAAGUCGUAACAAGGUAACCGUAGGGGAACCUGCGGUUGGAUCACCUCCUUA